rnacentral:rRNA from 1 species
UACGUAGGGGGCAAGCGUUGUUCGGAUUUACUGGGCGUAAAGCGCGCGUAGGCGGGUCACUAAGUCAGGGGUGAAAUCCCGAGGCUUAACCUCGGAACUGCCUUUGAUACUGGUGACCUGGAGAUCGGGAGAGGUUGGUGGAAUUCCGAGUGUAGAGGUGAAAUUCGUAGAUAUUCGGAAGAACACCAGUGGCGAAGGCGACUUACUGGACACAUAUUGACGCUGAGGUGCGAAAGCGUGGGGAGCAAACAGGG